rnacentral:rRNA from 1 species
UGGGGAAUCUUGCGCAAUGGGGGAAACCCUGACGCAGCGACGCCGCGUGCGGGAUGAAGGCCUUCGGGUUGUAAACCGCUUUCAGCAGGGACGAGGCCUUAUGGUGACGGUACCUGCAGAAGAAGCUCCGGCUAAAUACGUGCCAGCAGCCGCGGUAAUACGUAUGGAGCAAGCGUUAUCCGGAUUCAUUGGGCGUAAAGCGCUCGUAGGCGGUCUGUUAGGUCGGCGAGUUAAAUCCGGGGGCUCAACCCCCGUCCGCUUCCGAUACCGGCAGACUUGAGUUUGGUAGGGGAAGGUGGAAUUCCUGGUGUAGCGGUGGAAUGCGCAGAUAUUAGGAAGACCACCGGUGGCGAAGGCGGCCUUCUGGGCCAUAACUGACGCUGAGGAGCGAAAGCUAGGGGAGCGAACAGG